CCGAGUGAGGGCCCUCGCGCCCGACCUCCCAACCCUUUGUUGUACCCAACCGUUGCCUCGGGGGGCGACCCGGCCGUUCGCGCCGGGCGGCCCUCCGAGGUCCAUUGACAACCUGCAUUUUGACGUCGGAGUAUUGAAAACAAUCAAUCA
rnacentral:misc_RNA from 1 species